rnacentral:tRNA from 1 species
GCCCGGUUGGCUCAGUUGGUUAGAGCGUUCGUCUCAUAAUGCGAAAGCUAGACUUGUAAGUCAGCGAAAGGUCACCAGUUCGAUCCUGGUACUGGGCA